rnacentral:misc_RNA from 1 species
UCCUAGCCCAGAUCGCAGCAUUUGUUUGAGCUCAUUUUUUUGGUUUCGGCGGCGGCUUUGCCGCCGCCGAAACCAAAAAAAUAGCGAGUGCGGAGAGCGGGAAUAAGC